UACCUACUGUGAUGUCAGGAGGCACAAAUGACACUGGAAUUCUAUACUGCAAAAUCUAAGUUAAGGACCUUGUGAUGGUUAAGUCUAUAUGUCACCUUGACUGUGCCCCAUAUUCCUUUAACAUUAUUCUGGAAGUCGCGUGAAUAAAUGUCCAUGGGUCAAGAGAGAAAAGAUGGACCCCUGGAGUACCAAGACACCCAACCACUUUCCAUGAAGGAGAAGAGGUCUUGAACCACAAAGGGGCAUGGCAGACUGGUCUGGAGGGCACAGCAGGAGAAGGAGGAUGCUUUGGCUUUUCAACCUUGUCUUCAGGAUGUUCUACUUCCCUCAAAAGUCCUACCCUCAAACAGCAAACCUCCAGCAGGAGCAGGCAGAGGCAUCCCCACUGUCCAGUUUCACAGCAAUGAUCAGGAGAACUUCUGGGGUCAACUUCUAACUUCUAUUCAGCAAUUUCAAAGACCGGCCAGAUAAGAGAACUUUAUUAACUCCUUUAUCAACUGUCAGCUUCCUUUCAAAUUACUCCUAGGCAAAAAGUUUUGUUGCUAUAAUUACUGCUGUUAUUCAGGGGGGGGGGGAGGAGGGAGAUGGAUUUUAUUUAUUUUAAAUGUUUCGUAGUAUUUUAAAAAGACAAGAUGUGGUUGGAAAAGAAAACUUAAAAGGUAUACAGAACAAAGUCUAUCUCCCACUAGUUCUCCAUUUGCCCAGUUCCCAGCUGCAGCCAUAAGAAACCACUGUUAUUAGUCAUUUGUGAUUCUUUCUGAAAUGUCUUUUAUAUACACAAGCAAAUAUAAAUACAUAUUCUCCCCACCCACCCACCCAAAUGUUCUUUCACACAAAUGAAAGCAAACUCAACACAAUCUUUUGACACUUGGCCUUUUUUUCAUUUAACAGUGGAUCCUGAAGUUCUUCCCUAUUCGUACAUAAAAUGUUUCUUUUUUUCCCCCCACAAAUACAUUUGUGUACAGCUGAACAAUACAGAGGCUAGAGACACCGAUCCCCUGCACAGUCAAAAAUCUAUGAAUAACUUCUGACUCCCCAAAAACUGAACUACUAAUAGCCUACUGUUGACCAGGAAAGUUACCAAUUACAUAAAGCAGUCAAUUAAUACAUAUUUUAUGUGUUAUAUGUAUUAUACUGUACCCUUACAAAUAAUACCUUUUUAAUUUUUUCUGUAUUUCAAUGAUACCUGGUUCAUCUUAAGAGUUUUUUCAAAUUGUCACAGGUCUCCAAAAAACUUUCCAAUAUAUUUACUGAACAAAAUUUGUGUGUAAGUAGACCUACACAGUUCAAACCAGUGUUGUUCAAGGGUCAAAUGUAUUUCAUAUUUUGUAUGUAUGAUAAUUUUUAAAAAUUCCCUUUUAAUGGAUAAGACUGUUUCCAAUGUUUUGUCAUUAAAAUUAGUACUUCAAAAAAAAAACAAAAUAAGUGUUUUAAUCAAUAACUUUUUACCUACAACAUUUAGUAUAUAUGCAAGUAUCAGUGUAGAAUAAAUUCUCAGAACAAGAACUUCUAGGUCCAAGAGUACAUGAAGUUGUGAUUUUGAUAAGUAUUAUUAAACUGUCCUCUACAGGGAUUCUUUACACACCCACCAGCAACACACAUAAACACAUAUAAGCUUCUUUAUAAUCUUACCAAUGAACAAACCAAAUACAUAAAACCUAAAACAAUAAAAAUUUAGGGAUUUUGCCAAACUCACAUCCCAUCGUUCUUCAUAGCCUUUUAAAUUUUUACUGUGAGGCUGAAUACCUGCCUUCAUAUACUUAAGAGCCAUUCAGACUUCCUAUCUGUGGCCUACAGAGCCUCUUUACCUCUUAGGUAUAUUAGCCCUUUGUCUAUGAGUUGGGGGGAAAAGCUUUAAAUUGUUGUCACAUAUGUGAAAGGCAUAGUUCUUUAUUUAGGGGUACAUUACAAACUGUACUUGUCUAUUUGGCCAAUAUUUAUUAAGUGUCCUGUGUCUUAAUCCUGUGGCUAUACCAUAACGUCUAUCUAUGAUGCUGACCACUAAUACUGAAUGAACAGAACAGGUCUUUGCCUUCAUGGAGUCUACAAUUGAACAGACAACCAAUGAAAGGAGUCCUAAUGAUAAUGUGAUAUGAGUCUAAUGAAAUUAGAGGUAUUUUUCAUCUUGAGACAGAGCUGAAAGAGACAAAACAAAUACAGAUAAGCACUGUUUUCCAAAUGGCAGGCAGCAUGCUACAUAGCAUAGACCACAGCCCAGUGCAUGAUGGGCCAAUAAUAAAUAGGAGAAGAAAAUCUAAAAACUGAAGCACUGAAACACGUGCCUCAUGUGGUGGCAAGUAGACUGUUAUGAUAUCUUCCCCCAAAUUAGUGUUUCAAAGGUUUGAGCUCCUCCAUGCAGCUAUAUUGAUCAUUACUUAUAUAACACUAUUGUGAGAAAUUCAACUAGUAUCCUUAUCUCAUACAUUCUUUGCAAGACUAUUUGCUGGGAAAUUAAAGUGAAAACACCCUAUGCUGAACCAAGUCCUUGUUGGCUCUGAUGCUGAACAAGCUCUCUGAGUGGCCUGGCUUACUGCAUUUCCAUGUAUUCUACAUAUAAACAGUAUAUAGACAUUCUACAUAUAUGGACCACUGGGUCUCAAAGAUCAGUCUGUCAUGGAGAAUGCCUCCACUCCAAAGAAAAAUAAGGAACAACUGUUUUCUCACCAACGUAAAGAAAAAUUUCUUUAAAAAAAGAACAGAGGGGCGCCUUGGUGGCUCAGUCAGUUAAGUGUCCGACUUCGGCUCAGUUCAUAAUCUCACGGUUUGUGGGUUUGAGACCCACGUCAGGC